CGGUGGGGUGCUUUACCAUGCAAGUCGACGAUGAACCACUUCGGUGGGGAUUAGUGGCGAACGGGUGAGUAACACGUGGGCAAUCUGCCCUUCACUCUGGGACAAGCCCUGGAAACGGGGUCUAAUACCGGAUAACACUGCGGAUCGCAUGGUCUGCGGUUGAAAGCUCCGGCGGUGAAGGAUGAGCCCGCGGCCUAUCAGCUUGUUGGUGGGGUGAUGGCCUACCAAGGCGACGACGGGUAGCCGGCCUGAGAGGGCGACCGGCCACACUGGGACUGAGACACGGCCCAGACUCCUACGGGAGGCAGCAGUGGGGAAUAUUGCACAAUGGGCGAAAGCCUGAUGCAGCGACGCCGCGUGAGGGAUGACGGCCUUCGGGUUGUAAACCUCUUUCAGCAGGGAAGAAGCGAAAGUGACGGUACCUGCAGAAGAAGCGCCGGCUAACUACGUGCCAGCAGCCGCGGUAAUACGUAGGGCGCAAGCGUUGUCCGGAAUUAUUGGGCGUAAAGAGCUCGUAGGCGGCUUGUCACGUCGGAUGUGAAAGCCCGGGGCUUAACCCCGGGUCUGCAUUCGAUACGGGCAGGCUAGAGUGUGGUAGGGGAGAUCGGAAUUCCUGGUGUAGCGGUGAAAUGCGCAGAUAUCAGGAGGAACACCGGUGGCGAAGGCGGAUCUCUGGGGCAUUACUGACGCUGAGGAGCGAAAGCGUGGGGGAGCGAACAGGAUUAGAUACCCUGGUAGUCCACGCCGUAAACGUUGGGGAACUAGGUGUUGGCGACAUUCCACGUCGUCGGUGCCGCAGCUAACGCAUUAAGUUCCCCGCCUGGGGAGUACGGCCGCAAGGCUAAACUCAAAGGAAUUGACUGGGGCCCGCACAGCAGCGGAGCAUGUGGCUUAAUUCGACGCAACGCGAGAACCUUACCAAGCUUGACAUAUACCGGGAAGCAUCAGAGAUGGUGCCCCCCUUGUGGUCGGUAUACAGUGGUGCAUGGCCUGUCGUCAGCCCCGUGUCGGGAGAUGUUGGGGUUAGUCCCGCAACGAGCGCCAACCCUUGUUUCUGGUGUAU
rnacentral:rRNA from 1 species